rnacentral:rRNA from 1 species
GAGCGGCGGACGGGUGAGUAACACGUGGACCAAUCCUGCCCCCCGGCCCGGGACUAGCCCAGGGAAACCUGGAUUAAUACCGGAUGAGACGGGACCCGCGAUGGCGGGAUCCCGGGAAAGGCGCUGCGGCGCCGCCGGGGGAUGAGUCUGCGUCCCAUUAGCUAGACGGCGGGGUAACGGCCCACCGUGGCGACGAUGGGUAGCCGGCCUGAGAGGGUGGACGGCCACAUUGGAACUGAGACACGGUCCAGACUCCUACGGGAGGCAGCAGCUAAGAAUCUUCCGCAAUGGGCGAAAGCCUGACGGAGCCGACGCCGCGUGAACGAAGAAGGCCGUGAGGUUGUAAAGUUCUUUUCGGGAGGGGGAACAACCGUGGCAGGGAAUGGCCGCGGGAUGACGUGAAUCCCGGAAUAAGCCCCGGCUAACUACGUGCCAGCCGCCGC